ensembl:lncRNA LINC01630 long intergenic non-protein coding RNA 1630
CCCUCCUUCUCCAUGCAAACUUGCCAAGUCACAAUGACAUUACUUACCUCAGUACUCUAUUUACAAUUAUAGUAAUUUUUUGAAGUUAUUUUCUUUCAUUUAAGAGGAGUGAUUUCUAUGGUUGCACACUCAUUCAUUCAUUCAUUCAUUUAUUUCAUUCCACAAAUAUUAAGUGCCUAUGAGUUAUCAGUCAAUAUGAUGGCUUGGGAGAUACAGUGAUGGGUACAUCUAUGAGGCUUCUGCUUUCAUGGACUUUGGGAUUUGGAUGGGAGACAAAGGUCAAAAUAUUGCCAUGCAAAUGUCUGAUUGCAAUGGUACGAAGUACUAAGAAGAGAAAGCAUCAGGAGCUGUGCUAAUAAAAGUGGUUUGUUACAUAGGUAUACAUGUGCCAUGGUGGUUUGCUGCACCCAUCAACCCAUCAUCUACAUCAGAGAACCUUGUCUUGGGCUAUUGGUAGCCUGUAGAUAAAUUACCCUUGGAUCAAGUGACCAUCCCUGUACAAUAAGAGUUGGCUGAGGAAGAGGAUAGACUGUGAGCAGGAAAGAUCCCCUAGAAAGGCAUCUGAAAUUAUUAACAUGGGAAUAUCACUAGCAUUUUUCCCAUAGAUGGACCGAAAAUGCUGACGCCAAUGCCAAGGAAAAAAGUGUCUUGAAAAAGCAGCCGUGGACGUGGAGUUACCAAAUCAUCCGAAGUGGCUCCUGGACCGGGUGGAGGAGCCAGGCUGCAGAAAUGCAGUUCAUCGCAGGAGUUUUCCUGAACAGAGAAAAGUCUCCACAGAAUAGCAAAAAUAGCAAAAACUCGAAGUCAAGGGUCUUGAGGUCUAAAUUUUCUGUGUGACCCCAGGGAAAUCGUUUCAUCUUUCUAGGUCUUCACAUCCUCACCUGAAAAAUAAAGUGCUUGGCUAAGAAA